rnacentral:rRNA from 1 species
GGGCUUCGGCCCUGGGGAAAGCGGCGAACGGGUGAGUAACACGUGGGUAACCUGCCCUCGGCACCGGGAUAGCCCGGGGAAACUCGGAUUAAUACCGGACAGCCUCAUGAGCCCUCGGGCGAAUGAGAAAAGGUGGCUUCGGCUUCCGGCUGAGGAUGGGCCCGCGGCCGAUUAGCUUGUUGGUGGGGUAAUGGCUCACCAAGGCUCCGAUCGGUAGCUGGUCUGAGAGGACGAUCAGCCACACUGGGACUGAGACACGGCCCAGACUCCUACGGGAGGCAGCAGUGGGGAAUCUUGCGCAAUGGGCGAAAGCCUGACGCAGCGACGCCGCGUGCGGGAAGAAGGCCUCCGGGUUGUAAACCGCUUUCAGGAGGGACGAGGCCACUCAGGUUAAUAGCCGAGAGGGUGACGGUACCUCCAGAAGAAGCCCCGGCUAACUACGUGCCAGCAGCCGCGGUAAUACGUAGGGGGCUAGCGUUGUCCGGAUUUAUUGGGCGUAAAGAGCGCGUAGGCGGCUGGGUAAGUCCGACGUGAAAUCUGGAGGCUCAACCUCCAGCGGUCGUUGGAAACUACCCGGCUAGAGUCCGGAAGAGGAGAGUGGAAUUCCUGGUGUAGCGGUGAAAUGCGCAGAUAUCAGGAAGAACACCGAUGGCGAAAGCAGCUCUCUGGGACGGUACUGA